rnacentral:rRNA from 1 species
CCUACGGGAGGCAGCAGUAGGGAAUCUUCCACAAUGGGCGAAAGCCUGAUGGAGCAACGCCGCGUGGGUGAAGAAGGUCUUCGGAUCGUAAAACCCUGUUGUUAGAGAAGAAAGUGCGUGAGAGUAACUGUUCACGUUUCGACGGUAUCUAACCAGAAAGCCACGGCUAACUACGUGCCAGCAGCCGCGGUAAUACGUAGGUGGCAAGCGUUAUCCGGAUUUAUUGGGCGUAAAGGGAACGCAGGCGGUCUGUUAAGUCUGAUGUGAAAUCCUUCGGCUUAACCGGAGUAGUGCAUUGGAAACUGGGAGACUUGAGUGCAGAAGAGGAGAGUGGAACUCCAUGUGUAGCAGUGAAAUGCGUAGAUAUAUGGAGGAACACCAGUGGCGAAGGCGACUCUCUGGUCUGUAACUGACGCUGAGGUUCGAAAGCGUGGGUAGCAAACAGGAUUAGAUACCCGUGUAGUC